rnacentral:pre_miRNA from 1 species
AUUCUACUCCCUCCGUUACACAAUACAUGCCUUCUAUUUGUCAAAAUAUAUAUGUAUCUAGACAUGUUUUAGUAUAUAGGUACAUACAUUUUUGGACAAAUGGAAGUCAAGUAUUUUGGAACGGAGGGAGUACACA